rnacentral:misc_RNA from 1 species
GAUAAAUAUAAUUCCAGUAUUGGCUUCUCGCUCCCAAGCCCUAAGGUAUCUUUAUGUUCGGUGGGGCAUUGAUUUGGCAAAUAUGGUGGUUUUUGUUGGAGAAUCUGGGGACACAGAUUAUGAAGGAUUGCUUGGUGGGCUACACAAGAGUGUAAUAUUAAGGGGAGUUUGUAGUAGUGCAAGUAACCAACUCCAUGCCAACAGAAACUACCCUCUCACAGAUGUUAUAGCGUCAGACAGCCCCAAUAUUGUUCACACAGCUGAAGAAUGCACCAAGUCUGAUAUCCGGGGUUCCUUGCAGCAAUUAGCAUGUGUCAAGGGCUAGAUAGUCCCACACUUACCCUUCAUCAUUCAAAUUUGUUCUAGACCUUGUCUAUGUUGCUUUUAUCAUAAGGAGUACCCGGUUGCUUCCAUGCCAAGCAUCUCAUAAUUAUGGUUUUCUCAUCAUUUUUCGAUCCUCAAGAAGCUUGCUUGUGAGUAUUUCGUGUAGAUUCAAACCCCAUUUUACUUUCUACUUUUUCCAAUUUGUUUAUUCCCAUAUUGAGUCCAUCCUUGAGUGCUUUAUUGGCCUGCAAGUUUCUAAU